CCCAGCAGCACUACUGGCCUCAAGGGCCAGAUUUCACUAUCCCUGCUUUCCUGACAUCUGAAUUUAGAAGGGUCCGCCACUACAAACUUGUCGGCGGAGUUGUCAGGGCGACGGAAAGGCAGUCUGAAAGUCAGCGGCCUGCGGUCCCUCUGUCUCUUCCUGAUGAUUCGCCGAGCCGGAAGAAUCCUGUUGGACUUUUUGUUCCGCAUGAACAUUACCGUAGAGAUCACGAUCGUCAUGACUACUAUGACACUAAUGACACCAGCGAUCACGCCUAGGACUUUGAUGGGAUUUUCCCUACUUUGCAUUAAAAAGGCCGCCAUCGGCCCCUUGAGCUGAGUCUGUAAAAGAGCACAAAGAGAAGACCUUUAAUCAAGUCCGGAGUAUGAGCUACAUCUUCAUCAGUCCAACCACAUGUGCAGUGCCAGCUCCGGGCCCCAGGAGAGACCGGGCAGGUAAGUAUGAGAGAGUGAGUUGGCAGUGGAGAAGUGGGGAACCGUACCAUGACGGAGAUGACGUUGGAGCCUCCAGGGGAGUUCUCGGGGAUCCUAGCGAUGUAAUAGUCGGAGGAGAACUUGGGACUGUUGUCAUUGGUAUCUAGGAGGUGGAUGAUGAUGUCAGCCGUGGCACUGAAUCUUUCCGGUGUGUCAAUCUCCACAGCAAGGAGCUGAGGAAAAGAGACACAAAGAACAAUUUAAGCUUCUGGAAGUUUCUGAAAAUGAGCUGGAUAUGCAAGAAGCCUAAUGCAUCCACUGGUUUCAUUGAUGGAGAAAACACCAUCAGCCCCUGUAAAAGCCCCACACCAUCAGAACAUCAAAGUCGAAUGACACACUACAACCUCACCUUUCUCAAUCAGCAGAACAAGCACUAAUAAAAUGACCAGAUUAAUGCCAAAUACAAAACAAACCAUUACUUUAUUUUUUAUUGAUUACUUUUUAUCUUAUUUUAUUUAGACUCUUUAUAAUAUUUCAAACUUUAACUGAAAUUUAAAUUUUUUUUCCCCAAAUUCAGUCCAAGUGAGGGCCGUAUGAGGAAGGGAUUUUAAAGCUCACCGUUCACUAUUGAAUAUCGGAUUGGAUUAGGGUUGCCUUGGUCUCCAUCUUUUGCAAAAACAGUGUAGAUUUCAGAACCCUGAAACACAGACAUAAUUCACACUUAUAAUCCUGAU